UCGGGUGUGGUGUACGGUGCACGAUAGUAUAAAUUUAAGAUCCAUGACCCAACCAUUGAUGCUGCAGGCCGGGGUUCGACUCCCCGCACCCGAA